UACGUAGGUGGCAAGCGUUGUCCGGAAUUAUUGGGCGUAAAGCGCGCGCAGGCGGUCCCUUAAGUCUGAUGUGAAAGCCCACGGCUCAACCGUGGAGGGUCAUUGGAAACUGGGGGGACUUGAGUACAGAAGAGGAAAGCGGAAUUCCACGUGUAGCGGUGAAAUGCGUAGAGAUGUGGAGGAACACCAGUGGCGAAGGCGGCUUUCUGGUCUGUAACUGACGCUGAGGCGCGAAAGCGUGGGGAGCAAACAGG
rnacentral:rRNA from 1 species